CUUCCGUAGGGGAACCUGCGGAGGGAUCAUUACACAAUACAAUAUGAAGGCUGUCCGCAGCUGGAGUAUUUUAUUACCCUUGUCUUUUGCGCACUUGUUGUUUCCUGGGCGGGUUCGCUCGCCACCAGGACCACCAAAUAAACCUUUUUUAUGCAGUUGCAAUCAGCGUCAGUACAAACAAUGUAAAUCAUUUACAACUUUCAACAACGGAUCUCUUGGUUCUGGCAUCGAUGAAGAACGCAGCGAAAUGCGAUACGUAGUGUGAAUUGCAGAAUUCAGUGAAUCAUCGAAUCUUUGAACGCACAUUGCGCCCUUUGGUAUUCCAAAGGGCAUGCCUGUUCGAGCGUCAUUUGUACCCUCAAGCUUUGCUUGGUGUUGGGCGUUUUUGUCUUUGGUCGCCCAAAGACUCGCCUUAAAGUGAUUGGCAGCCGGCCUUUCUGGUUUCGCAGCGCAGCACAUUUUUGCGCUUGCCAUCAGCAAGACGGCAAUCCAUCAAGCCUCCUUCUCACGUUUGACCUCGGAUCAGGUAGGGAUACCCGCUGAACUUAAGCAUAUCAAAUAAGGCGGAGGA
rnacentral:rRNA from 1 species